UACGUAGGGUGCAAGCGUUGUCCGGAAUUAUUGGGCGUAAAGAGCUCGUAGGCGGUUUGUCGCGUCUGCCGUGAAAGUCCGGGGCUCAACUCCGGAUCUGCGGUCGAUACGGGCAGGCUGGAGUUCGGUAGGGGAGACUGGAAUUCCUGGUGUAGCGGUGAAAUGCGCAGAUAUCAGGAGGAACACCGGUGGCGAAGGCGGGUCUCUGGGCCGAUACUGACGCUGAGGAGCGAAAGCGUGGGGAGCGAACAGG
rnacentral:rRNA from 1 species